rnacentral:misc_RNA from 1 species
UACGAUUGAUAGCCCUUGACGAUGCGUUGCGGAAAGAGAUUUAAGAUCAAAUUGUUGGCGCUAUGGUUGGACCGACGCGUUGACGUGUGAGUGGCCGUUUGAUUGUUUGUGUUGGCUGGCUCCCUGCUCGUGCAGCGAACUGUCGAUGCUACAUCUUUUCAGUCCCGAAGGAGGCGCGAUCUGCGCCUGCGAAUGUUGGAUUCUUGUGUUGCCUACCCAAUUGAAGGUAUUCUUCGUGUCCCGAUGCCUUAUCUUUCGCCGAACACCGCAUGCGGUGCUAGGCGGACGCCGAAGCGUUCCCUUUUCGGUCCAUGCUCACACCCUCAUCGGGAAGCAUGGCGAAUUGGCGAAUUUUGCUUGUUGCCUCGGAUACAGAGCACGAAGCGAGCAUGGCGGGCUAUGCCCUCAUCGCUCAUUCGGAGCUCUUUUUCGCUCGGAAAGAAGAACCGUCGUGCUCGGAUUUGACUGCCGACUUGUCGGCAUAGCCCAUCUCCGAGCCGACGUCUCGAACGAAUGCUACCUGGUGAU